rnacentral:rRNA from 1 species
CAGCACCUCAAGUGGUCAGGAUGAUUAUUGGGCCUAAAGCAUCCGUAGCCGGCGCUGUAAGUUUCGGUUAAAUCUGUACGCUCAACGUACAGGCUGCCGGGAAUACUGCAGCGCUAGGGAGUGGGAGAGGUAGACGGUACUCGGUAGGAAGGGGUAAAAUCCUUUGAUCUAUUGAUGACCACCUGUGGCGAAGGCGGUCUACCAGAACACGUCCGACGGUGAGGGAUGAAAGCUGGGGGAGCAAACCGGAUUAGAUACCCGAGUAGUCC